GAUGAACGCUGGCGGCGUGCUUAACACAUGCAAGUCGAACGAUGAAGCCCAGCUUGCUGGGUGGAUUAGUGGCGAACGGGUGAGUAACACGUGAGUAACCCGCCCUUGACUCUGGGAUAAGCGCUGGAAACGGCGUCUAAUACCGGAUACGAGCUUCCACCGCAUGGUGAGUUGCUGGAAAGAAUUUCGGUCAAGGAUGGACUCGCGGCCUAUCAGGUAGUUGGUGAGGUAACGGCUCACCAAGCCGACGACGGGUAGCCGGCCUGAGAGGGUGACCGGCCACACUGGGACUGAGACACGGCCCAGACUCCUACGGGAGGCAGCAGUGGGGAAUAUUGCACAAUGGGCGCAAGCCUGAUGCAGCAACGCCGCGUGAGGGACGAAGGCCUUCGGGUCGUAAACCUCUUUUAGCAGGGAAGAAGCGAAAGUGACGGUACCUGCAGAAAAAGCACCGGCUAACUACGUG
rnacentral:rRNA from 1 species